CGGGAUAUAGCUUAGGGGUAGAGCGCUCCCCUUGCGUGGGAGAGGGCUCGGUUUCAAUUCCCCAUAUCUCCA
rfam:Toxocara canis scaffold644, whole genome shotgun sequence.